GAUGAACGCUGGCGGCGUGCCUAAUACAUGCAAGUCGAGCGGAGCGGGGACGGGUGAGUAACACGUGGAUAACCUCCUUUAAGAAUGGGAUAACCUAGGGAAACCGGAGCCAAACCGGCUACUUAUAGAUGGUUGCGCGCUGCAUUAGCUAGUUGGUAAGGUAACGGCUUACCAAGGCGACGAUGCGUAGCCGAGCUGAGAGGGUGAUCGGCCACACUGGAACUGAGACACGGCCCAGACUCCUACGGGAGGCAGCAGUGGGUAAUCUUCCUCAAUGGGCGAAAGCCUGACGGAGCAACGCCGCGGGAGUGAAGAAGGUCUUCGGAUCGUAAAACUCUGUUAUUAGGGAAGCGGUACCUGAUCAGAAAGCCACGGCUAACUACGUGCCAGCAGCCGCGGUAAUUC
rnacentral:rRNA from 1 species